AAAUAGUCAAGAAAAACAUUGAAGGUAGAGUUAUAGAUUAAUUUAAUGUACACAACUUGAUAGUACUAAAGGCUUGGGUUUCUCAAAGGCCAAACUGUUCCUCUCUCUAUGCUGCUGACACUCAUUCAGAGUUAACAAAAUAGUGAAUAAGGGAGAAAUGGUGGAUAAAAUUAAUUCAGGCUUUCAAAAGACUUUUGAUAAAGACUCUUACAAGAAACUCUUCAGGAAACUUGGUAACCAUGGAGUGAGAGAUAGAGUAGAAAUGAAAAAGGCACAGACAGGGGCAGCAUUGCUGAUCAAAGACACAGAUGUCAUCUGUGCAAGAAACUAUGAAAAAGACCAGGAUUCUUCAGGCUAGGGAAGAGGUGGCCCAGAGCAAGAAUGACAAGGAGGCAAACAGGGAUCAACUUGCAGCACAUGAUCUUAAAGUCAUGAGUUGUACUGUUGAGUGGUAAGUUCAAAACAGACAAAAUGAAGUCAUUCCUCACAUGGGGUGUGAAACAUUUCUGAAGGAAUCUAUUAAUAUGGUUGUGUUUAAGGUACCUCCAUACUCCUAGAAGGAGAAUCCUGUGAAAGUGACUAGAUACUGAGCUAUCACCUCCAUUUCAGGAACUGUCUAGCCUGAAAAACUUUGGAAGUGAAGGACAAACACUACUUUCUGGCCCUGCUUUUCCCUUACGCAUCUGUCCAUGGCCUGUGUCAGAGACAGACAAUUGAAUUGUACAGAGUUUUGAUCUACACAUUUUACACUAUGCAGCUAUAAAUAAUUCCUGGAAGUUAGACAGGUGUAUGCAUACAUCAAAAAUGGCAUGUGGAGAGAAGCAACUUGUGUUGCUGGAUGGGAGAAGAGCAGAAAAAGGAGUAUCCAGGGAAUGUUAGAACAUUACAUGGCUUUAUCCUCUUGAAGCUAAGGCUAAACAGCCUAAAAAAAAAAAAAAAAAAAAAAAAAAAAAGUUUUGACAAUCAGUGGGGGUUGGUUUAGCCCCUAAGGGCUUUUUUUUGCCUCUCCCAUAUGUUUCCAUUGCAGAUAGAGUUUCCAGAUAGGGUUUAUGCUUAAGAGAUACUGAGGUGCAGAAAAGUCACUCUGUGGUGACUCAGGGUGCAUCUAUUUGUUAUUCUGCCUGUGUCUAUCACUUUCCUUUUCUUGUGUUUUCUCUGAUAAAGGACCUUAGUGACUGAAAUAUAGAUCAAAGCCCCAGCCUAAGGCUUGUCAAAAGAAAAGGGAAGGGAAGGAAAAAAAAAAAAAAAAAAAAAAAAAAGCAUUGAAAAAUAUAUCAUUGAGCUUAAAGGAUUCUUUCUUUUCUUGUUUUCUGCCAUUUCUAUUUGAAGAUUUUCUGUCUCAUCCUGCAUUUAGUAUAUCUUACAGUAACUUUGAAAGAAAAACCAAAGAGAGACACUAAACAAAAGAUGAUUUUACUUUGUUAUGUUGUUACUGUACUAAGUUCUAAGUCAGAACUGUUUCAUUUUAUACUGGAGGAAGAGAUGGUUUGCUGUGUUUGGUCUACUGUGUUUAUGUCGUCCACUAACCUUUCUGUGACUGCUGACAUUAUUCCUCAUGAAGCCGUGAGUCAAGUGAUCAUGAUCCUCUGUGUUUGAUUUCUUUAGUUCUAAUUGCAUUUGUGUUGUUAUGUGUUAAUUGUGAGGAAAAAUAUAUAAUUUAUCCUAUAUUUCCAUAUCUGAUAGUAUACAUAUUUUGGAUGCAAGGUCUAUAGACAGAUGGAAAUACCAUUUUGUACCACCAAGGUUUGAAUAUGUUAGAUAAAUCCUGCCCUGUCUCAAAUACUGGAAGAGGGGACAAUCCCAGAUAUGAACUCAACUGAAAAUUGAGCUGUGUCCAAAUAAUCUCUGUUUUGCAAGAUCUCAAAGUUUUAUAUAAAACACUUUAUUACAUUUAAUAAAUAAAUAAACUGUACAACUGCAAA